rnacentral:rRNA from 1 species
CGUGAGUUGGGUUAGUCCGUACGAGCGCACCCUUGUCCUUAGUUGCCAUCAUUUAGUUGGGGACUCUAAGGAGACUGCCGGUGACAAACCGGAGGAAGGCGGGGACGACAUCAAGUCAUCAUGGCCCUUACGAGUAGGGCUACACACGUGCUACAAUGGCAAGUACAGAGGGCCGCGAAGCCGCGAGGUGGAGCUAAUCUCACAAAGCUUGUCGUAGUCCGGAUUGGAGUCUGCAACUCGACUCCAUGAAGUCGGAAUCGCUAGUAAUCGCGAAUCAGAAUGUUGCGGUGAAUACGUUCCCGGGCCUUGUACACACCGCCCGUAUAA